UACGAGAGGCCCAAACGUUAUUCGGAAUUACUGGGCUUAAAGAGUUCGUAGGCGACAUUGCAAGUAGGGUGUGAAAGCCCUCGGCUCAACCGAGGAAUUGCGCUCUAAACUGCAGUGCUUGAGGAACCUAGAGGUGAGCAGAACAGAUGGUGGAGCGGUGAAAUGCGUUGAUAUCAUCUGGAAUACCGGAGGCGAAGGCGGCUCACUGGGAGUUUUCUGACGCUGAGGAGCGAAAGCCAGGGUAGCGAACGGG
rnacentral:rRNA from 1 species